rnacentral:lncRNA from 1 species
GGGAAAGAGACAUGUGAGUAUUCCUGGCCCCUUUGUCAUGUGAGGCACUGCAUCACCUUGGGACUCUGCAGAGCGUCUCCACCAGCAAGAAUGCUCUCACUAGAUUCAGCACCUUGACCUUGGACUUCUCAACCUCCAUAACUGUAAGAAGACACAGUUCCCAGGUCACACCCAUUAACCAUGUCCAUCCUGAAGUCCAGAAUUCCAUGUGAUGUGCAGCCUUCAGCAUUAAUAUAACUAAUAAUUAACAAGUUAUUUGACUUCAAUCAAUCCCCAACAAGACUCCUUCAGUCCCUCUGGCUCUUUAGGACUUCAUAUGGCUACUGAGAGCAACCACUGCUAAAAGAGGCUAACUUGGAAGGAGUCAUGAGAAAUUCAACAAUGCUCUAGUUACUGCAAGCUCUGAAAGGCACUAUUGGCUCUGAGACCUCAUGAAGGAAGCAGCCAAAAGCAAUUAAGGAAGACUGUAUUCAUCACAGCAGAACACACCCUGUUAAACUAAUUGGAAAUUACAUACUACAAUCUUGGCAAAAUCUACCAACUAUGAAGAGAUGUCACCAUCUUAAUAAUUCUAUGAUAGCCAUAGGAGGACAAACAGUUGUUGUUGACAAGUGUUUGAUCUUCAUAAGUCUGCUGCUGUGACAAACUACAAACUAUAUUUUAUCCUCUACUUCUGUGAUCCUUCACCCAGAUAAGAACCAACACCUGGCAUCUUUUCAAAUUUUCUUUUUUUUUUCCUUUUACAUCAGUGGCAAAAGUUAAAAAGGUAACAUGAAAAGAAAGAUGAAACAGGAAUACUGUUCAAAUUGAAGGACUGUAGUUUCAAGUUUCAAUCCUGUAUCAAAACAUCUCCGCCUUAUCUUCUUUUCCAGUCAUCACAAAUGAUGAGUACAAAGAGGUACACAAACAUCAGUACAAUGCUGCGUGUGUACUGCAAUCCAAAAAUCACAGCUACAAAAUUAUACCUGACAUAUCAAAAACUGACACUCACAUCCUCAAGAUUUCCUCCUCUCAUUCCCAUGGACCUUCUUUAUUAAUAAAUCUGACACAUAAAAAGCAUCUAUAUGACUAAAGUGUCAGUUACUGGAAAGACCGUUUUGAUCUAUUUCUCAACUUUUAAAAGAAAUAUUCUCUUUUUCAUGAAUACAGGAUCCAUUCACUGACUGCCGGCUUUCAAAUGACCACCUCUUGAAGUUUAAUUUUAAGUUUUAAAUAAAUAUUGUAUGCAUGCAGAAUAAUUACGAUGCUCUAGAGAGAUACUGUAUAAUGACAUUGAUUCUUUUUUAUCUGAAAAUGCCAAGCCCUUAAGGCAGCAAAGUCUGCAUUUGCCACAGACGUGGGAAGGUUCCUUGCAUGUGUUAAAUUUCAGAAGGGGCAUGCGUGGCACUUUCAUUAAGAUGCUACCGGUAUUUCCUGAGUAAACUCUAAUUUUCAUGAGUUUAGAACUUCUUUUCUUUAGGUUCAUGUGAUCUAACCUACCAAGUGGAACUCACUGGCCUUCAAAUGUAUGUUUUACACAUAUAACUUUUUAGUGAAUCAAAAAUUUCUUCAUUCUAGAAAUGAAAAAGCCUAAUAAAAUCUUGUUUGUAGAUGUAUGAAAAUCCUUUUUCAUGUUGCAUAGUAUUUUACAUGACAAGUAACUAUUGCUUUUUACAGACUAAAAUAUUUGUUAGGUUUCUGUCUAUAUAUGGUAUCACAGUUUCAUACCAAAUGCCAUUAGUGGAUACUAUCAUGUAUCUUUUUCACAUAUUCAGAAAUAUGAUGAGAAUAAGUCAAGGUACAGAGACAGAAAUCAGCAUUAUGUCUUGUCUUUUGUGUCCUCUGUCAGGGUUCCUUAAAAAAUUGUGUUCUUCUUCUAAAUAUAUCCCACUCAUGACUUAGCAACCAUACACAUACACUAGGAAAUAAUAAUGCUGCAAUAAAGAUGUGUUCAGAUUCAAGAACUUUUCUAAAUGUGUUGGCUCAUUAAAAUUUGUUGGUGUAUUCAGAUCAAAAAUAGCCUAGUAGAAAUAUUUUUUGUCAAUUGUUUAACAGACAAACUUUAUUUGACACAUGGCCUUCUCUGAUGUGAUUUUGACCAAUAGCUUGUUAUGGCUGAAACUUUCCAAUCCAUCAUCAAGUCUCAUUGCUUUACCCUCAACAUAUUUCUCAAGUCUGUUUGUUGCUCAUCAGCUCCACCACUACCAUCCUGGUCCAGCCUUGACUAUCUAUCACCUGGACUACAGUUGUAGCCUCCUCAUUGUUCUUCCUGUUUCCAAUCUUGCUCCAUUACAGUCACAGUUCUGCAUGGAAGCCUGAAUUAAUUUCUCAUAAAAUAGAAACCAGAUAUUUUCACUCUCUACUCACAGCCAUCCAAUGGAUUCAGGUUAGACUUAGACUGGAAUAAAACCCACACUGCUCUCUCCAGCCACCAAACCACUGUAAUAUUCACCUCAGGCAUAUUCUUCAACAGCAGCUCCCACCAUCUUCCCUUCCUUCACUCUGCUCCAGCCUAUGCUGCAUUUAUUUCCCUCAAUAAGGGAAGGGAUUCUUGCCUUAGAGAAUAUGAACUUGCUGAUCCUUCUGACUUGAGUCUUUUUCUCCCGUAUUUUUCCAUGACUCCUUCCUUUCUCCCCUUCAAAAAAGAAUUAUUCUCUGACUACCUUUUCCAAAAUAGAUACUCUUCACAUUCUGUCUCCUUUUCUGCUUUCUUUUUCUUCGUUAUGUAUAUUGCUAUCUGAAAUAAGGAUAUAUUUAUUUGUGUAUGUGUUUAUGCUGAGUUUUGACUACUGUAAAAUCCGUGAUACCUUGAUGUUUUCUGUCUUGUUUGUUGCUACUUCCCAGCAUCUAAAAUAAAAUAGUACCUGAACAAUGAAAAUAAAGGCAUGGAUAUGUGAAUAAAUGUAGGGAGGGUAAAUGGCUGAUCUUUGGAUUCAUAUAUUUUUUCAGCCAUUUUUAGUUUACCCUGAUCCAUGUUUAAAAAAAUCAUUUGUCCAUGUCCAUGAGCAUUAGUAUAUCAUCUCAAACUUUUAAUUGUCACAUUUGUAGCUCUCUGCUGUACCUACGACACUUACUGCAGGUGCUUUUUUCAACUUUGUACAUAGGGGCAAUAUUCUACACACUGAAAAUGCUACAGUCUAUUGAAGAUAUAUGUGUAGGGAUUGAACAUUUCAGAGCAUGAACAUACUGUAAUUAAUGCAAAAAUUCUGAUUUUGGAUUUUUCUUCUGAGCUCUAUAAUUAUAUAUGCAACUGACGUCUGAAAUCUUUUCAUGUAUAUCUUGGAGGCACAUCAAUUUCAUCAUGUCCAAAACUGAACUCAUUAUUUCCUCCCAGACCUUUAUUCCCUUGUAUUGUUUUUCAUUUUAGUAAAAGAUACCACAGUCCAAUAAGUCCUCAAGUGUAAGACACGGUGAUCAUCCUACUAUUUAUUCCCUCUAUUUAUCUCCCCAGCCCCAACCUCAAGUCACUGUUUGUUCUGGAGUUUCCACCCUUCUCUUGAGCUCCCCUGCCACUGUCUCAGCUGAGGACCUCAUCUUCUGGGGUAAUGUAGCUUUCUGUUUUCUCCCUAUCCUUUCUGAUAUGUACUAAUACUUUCUAAUGUUUACUAAUAUUCACUCUAUCUGUAAACACAGUGUCUUUUUAAAAUGUAAAACUGACUGCAUUACCACCUGCUUUGAAUACUUCAAUCUUUCCCAGGGUCCAGAAGUCCGAAUUACUCAGCUAGGUCUUAACGGCCUCUGCUCUCUACCUCCAACUGACUUCAUCUCCCGCUGUAUCCCCUAAAACUUCUCUUCAUCCAAGUGGACAAUGUGGUUUUCUGAAGACACUGCUCUUCCAAACCCCAUGCCACUGCUCAUGCUUUCUUCCUUCCUGAAGUAAUCUUGCCCUUUUUAUAUCACUACUACCACUAAUUCUUCGGAAUACCCUUAAAGGAUUUUGUCUCUUUGAAUUAUAUUUCUGCAUUUCUCAGUAUGUUCCCAAUCCAUUCCCUGCCCCACAGAACUGAGUAUUCUCUUCUUUGGGUACAUUACUCUUAUUAUAAUUGUUCAUAUUAUACUGAUUAUAAUUAUGAAAUUAGGUACCUCUCUAACAAGUGUUGAAUAAAUAUUUGCUGCGUUAAUAAAUGAGUGAAAAAAUGUAUAUUCUAUUUUCAUGUACUUUAGUGAGUUUGGAAUUUUUGGCAACUGAUAAAAAUAUACAUUUUAAAAAUACUUAUUAAUUAAAUCACAUAAGUAUAAAAUCUGAGUAUUAUAUUUUUCUUGAUUUCUUUAAUAAAAAUAAAUCCAGUAUAAUUAUUCAUACUUAAGCUCUCUACAUUUCAUUUUUUUCUUUUGAACAUCCCUUUCUCAUUCAUUUUGUAUUCACUGAGUUAAUGCUGAUUAUAAUUAAUUGUUUUGAUCAUCAUGUAGAUGUCAUAUGGACUUUUAUAGUCAUUCUAUUAUAAUUAAACAUACAUUAAUGGACAUUUAAAACAUGCCACCCUUUUUUAAUAAAGCUCAUAUCUGUGGCCCACUGCUGGUGAAAUGAUCCAAUAAUAUAUCAGAACAGUAGUUUGUAAUUUUGAUAGAGAACACAUUUGGCUUUCAAGUUUUUAAAUCAAGGCCAUUUUCCAGUUGGUUGAGUACCAAGUGCAUUGCACAGAUUCUCUUUACAUAUAAAAGUAUUAUCUAUUGUCAUGGGCAGGUUUAAGUGUAGUGCUAAGGGCAGCCUAACUAGAUUAACUACUGAGUUAUUGUCCAGGCACAUAUUUUAAAAUUGUGUUAAAUUGCUAUCGGAAAAUAUAAAUUAGUAAUUUAAAAUAUUUGUUAUUCCACUGUCAAUAAAUUUUAUUUCCAACUUGACCCUUGGAAUUCUGUGUAUGUGUAUGGUUUGGCUU